CCUUAAUGUAGACCAAUUUGAAAACUGGACCAAAAAUUAAGAAUCUACAUACACAGUUAGAUUUGGCAUAUCAAAGAACCCAUUUAUUCAAUUUUUGAUGAAAUCAAACAAAGUUUAAUUUUGGACCCCCAUUUGGACCAACUUGAAAACUAGGCCAAUAAUUAACCAGAUGCUCCGCAGGGCGUAGCUUUAUACGACCGCAGAGGUUGAACCCUGAACGGUUGGGGCAAGUAUGGACACAACAUUCAAGCUGGAUUCAGCUCUAAAUUUGGAUUGUGAUUGAAUAGUUGACACAGCAUAGGUUUCUGACACAGAAUGAAUGUGUUCUAUUGAACUUAAAAUUUUUGUUUUCUCUUAGAGCAAUUCACUAUGCUGUUGAAUAUUAAUCCUCUCAAAACAAGAAUGUGUCCUCAGUACACGAAUGCCCCACUCGCACUAUCAUUUUCCAUGUUCAGUGGACCGUGAAAUUGGGGUAAAAACUCUAAUUUGGCAUUAAAAUUAGAAAGAUCAUAUCAUAGGGGACAUGUGUACUAAGUUUGAAGUCGAUUGGACUUAAACUUCAUCAAAAACUACCUUGACCAAAAACUUUAACCUGAAGCGGGACAGACGGACGGACGGACGGAUGAACGGACGAACGAACGGACAGACGGACGGACGGACGGACAGACGCACAGACCAGAAAACAUAAUGCCCCUCUACUAUCGUAGGUGGGGCAUAAAAAUGUUUGAAGAAAUUUUCUUUUUUAUUUAUGAAAUUUCAAAUGAGAAAAAUUGAACCCAAUUUUUUUUAAUCACAUCCCCCUUUCCCUUAUUCCAAAACUAAUCUCAAUUAAAAUUUCUAAUGGAGUUUGCAACAAUAACUACUCAUUUAAAU
rnacentral:lncRNA from 1 species